GACGAACGCUGGCGGCGUGCCUAAUACAUGCAAGUCGAACGCUGAAGGAGGAGCUUGCUUCUCUGGAUGAGUUGCGAACGGGUGAGUAACGCGUAGGUAACCUGCCUGGUAGCGGGGGAUAACUAUUGGAAACGAUAGCUAAUACCGCAUAAGAGUAGAUGUUGCAUGACAUUUGCUUAAAAGGUGCAAUUGCAUCACUACCAGAUGGACCUGCGUUGUAUUAGCUAGUUGGUGAGGUAACGGCUCACCAAGGCGACGAUACAUAGCCGACCUGAGAGGGUGGUCGGCCACACUGGGACUUGGACACGGCCCAGGCUCCUUCGGGAGGGAGCAGUAGGGAAACAUCGGCAAUGGACGGAAGUCUGACCGAGCAACGCCGCGUGAGGUAAGAAGGUUUUCGGGUCGUAAAGCUCUGUUGUAAGAGAAGAACGAGUGUGAGGGUGGAAAGUUCACGCUGUGACGGUAUCUUACCAGAAAGGGACGGCUAACUACGUG
rnacentral:rRNA from 1 species